rnacentral:rRNA from 1 species
GAUGAACGCUGGCGGCGUGCCUAAUACAUGCAAGUCGAGCGAAUGGAUUAAGAGCUUGCUCUUAUGAAGUUAGCGGCGGACGGGUGAGUAACACGUGGGUAACCUGCCCAUAAGACUGGGAUAACUCCGCGAAACCGGGGCUAAUACCGGAUAACAUUUUGAACCGCAGGGCUCGACAUUGAAAGGCGGCUUCGGCUGGCACCUAUGGAUGGACCAGCGUCGCAUUAGGUAGUUGGUGAGGUAACGCCUCACCAAGGCAACGAUGCGUAGCCGACCUGAGAGGGUGAUCGGCCACACUGGGACUGAGACACGGCCCAGACUCCUACGGGAGGCAGCAGUAGGGAAUCUUCCGCAAUGGACGAAAGUCUGGCGGAGCAACGCCGCGUGAGUGAUGAAGGCUUUCAGGUCGUAAAACUCUGUUGUUAGGGAAGAACAAGUGCUAGUUGAAUAAGCUGGCACCUUGACGGUACCUAACCAGAAAGCCACGGCUAACUACGUGCCAGCAGCCGCCGUAA